UACGGAGGGUGCAAGCGUUUAUCCGGAUUUACUGGGUUUAAAGGGUGCGUAGGUGGGUAAGUAAGUCAGUGGUGAAAUCUCCGGGCUUAACCCGGAAACUGCCAUUGAUACUAUUUGUCUUGAAUACUUUGAGGUAAGCGGAAUAUGUCAUGUAGCGGUGAAAUGCUUAGAUAAUGACAUAGAACACCAAAUUUGCGCAGGAGCUUACUACACAGUAAUUGACACUAGGCACGAAAAGCGUGGGGGAUCAAAACAGG
rnacentral:rRNA from 1 species